CUAGUAGCAGGCAUCAUAGCCCUGUUUUACUGUGUGGAACUGAAGAUUGGGACACCUGGACUCUGUCAUCGUCCUGGUCAUCCGGGUCCCUACAGGUCCCCGCCAGCAGCCUGCCUUUUGCCUGGUAACCCGGCUCCUUCCCCACGGGUCCCACGGGUCUUUGGGUCUCAGAAUCAUCCUCAGGAGAGACCCUGGACCAGAACUGCCCAGAAUUCAGAUCCACAGAAACUGUGAACUGACAGAUGUUCCAAGCAGCUGCACAGUAACACAGUAAUAUAGAAAUACUGUAAUACAUUCUGAUACCAAAAGUUGGCGGGAUUGGGGUACAGUCGGCCUUUCUCCAUCAUCUUGCUCUUAACUUACACUGGGAAAACAAAUCACAGCAGCAGCCUCCCAUCCCCGAGAAGCCUCCCCGCCCCCCAGGGCUGGCUGUGUACACCAGCCAGGGUGGUGCUGAGUCAGUGGCUGGCAGCACUGACUUUCUGUCCCUCAUCGUCAACAAGCCCGGAGUGGGGCCGUGGGGCUGUGCUGAGCCUGCUGCCUGUGCAGGACCAGGGUUUCCUCAGGUUCAAGGCCAGCUGGAGGCCACUGGGACUGAGGGCUGUGAAUGGAGUGGCAGGCCUGGCCCCACAAGAUCCCAGGGAAAAGAACCCUCCUCCCUGACCUGGUGUUCCGGAAGCAGGGAGUGCUCCCAGCCUGGUGCUCUCUAUGCCAGUGAUCCUGGCCUGAAGCCCCUUAGCCUGUAGCUCUUUGCAUGGUGCUCCUCACCCAAUGCCCCUUCCCUGCACCCUGGGCUCCCUGUCUCACCGCUCCCCUCCUGUGAGGGCCCCUCACUGCCCACCACCCCCUCUGCAGGGCCUGGCCCUGCCUGGAGAGAGAGGAAGUUUCUGUCUCACAGAAAACUGGGGAAGUGCCAGGAAGAGCAAGCUGGUGGUCUGCAAUCAAUCCUCUUGAUAAAAUGUGCCUUAAUUUUGAAUCAGCUUCUCUGUGAAUGGCUGCAGCCUCAUUCAGAGCCUAAUCAGCCCCUUGCAAAGGAAAAGACAAGCUUCACUGGGCCCCACAGGCCCGGUGGCUCAGCUCUCACUCAGCCCCGGUUCGUGCACCAGCUGGAGCACGGGGGCCCUGAUGGCCACUUUGUCUUUCUGAGGGGAGCUGGCUGCUCCAUUCAGACUAAUUGCAGGUCUCUGAAAAUGUGACCUCAAGAAUUUGCUGCUGACAACUUUCUCCAACAAUGUGGGCAGGGAGGAGAACGCUCUGUGUGCUCAGCCAUAGAAGCGAGAAGAAAUGCUGUGAUCAUGAAAACACGGCCCAGAUAGUCCACGCCACCCAGACUUCCAAACUGCCACCAGUUGUUCCCCUAAAUUCUCAAACAACUUGCAGUUCCAAACGACAUUGCCCAGUCUCUCUCUGGCACCUGCACCAGCUCAAAAGCCUCUGCCUGAUUAGGGGUUUGAAAACCACACGCUAAGCAUAAAUUAGGUGUCAGUUGUUGUUUGUGUCUGAGUGGGAAGGGCUAUUUGGAGACACCUCAACCUCCUUGUGUUCAGUUGGGGAGACGCUUGAUCCUGUGACACCUGGCAGAAGCCAGACGUCUGAACUCACAGGACAACGGGACACAGCUUCCUGGAACAUCUAUUUCCUCAAACUCUUCUUUACAUAAUAUAAUUGGCAUCUAAAGCGAUAAAUUUUCCUCUUAAGACUGCCAUGGCAAUUGCAACAACAACAAAAAUAAACAAAUGGGACUUCAUUAAACUGAAAAGCUUCUGUACAGCUAAGGAGACAACAGCCAAAGCAAAGAGACAACCUACACAAUGGGAAAGGAUAUUUGCAUAUUUUGAAUCAGACAAAAGCUUGAUAACUACGAUCUAUAGAGAACUCAAAUUAAUCCUCAUGAAAAAAGCCAACAAUCCCAUAUAUCAAUGGGCAAGAGACAUGAAUAGAACCUUCUCUAAAGAAGACAGAUGAAUGGCUAAUAAACAUAUGAAAAAAUGUUCAUCAUCCAUAUCUAUUAGAGAAAUGCAAAUCAAAACCAC